GGGCCCGUGGCUCAGCCUGGAAGAGCGCCCGCCUUAUAAGCGGGAGGUCGCGGGUUCGAGUCCCGCCGGGCCCACCA
rnacentral:tRNA from 1 species